GAUGAACGCUAGCGGCAGGCUUAAUACAUGCAAGUCGAGGGGGCAGCAGGGUGUAGCAAUACAUCGCUGGCGACCGGCAAACGGGUGCGGAACACGUACACAACUUUCCUUUAAGUGGGGGAUAGCCCAGAGAAAUUUGGAUUAAUACCCCGUAAUAUUAUGAAGUGGCAUCAUUUUAUAAUUAUAGCUCCGGCGCUUGAAGAUGGGUGUGCGGCUGAUUAGGUAGNGGCGGGGUAACGGCCCACCAAGCCUACGAUCAGUAACUGGUGUGAGAGCACGACCAGUCACACGGGCACUGAGACACGGGCCCGACUCCUACGGGAGGCAGCAGUAAGGAAUAUUGGUCAAUGGACGCAAGUCUGAACCAGCCAUGCCGCGUGAAGGAUGAAGGUCCUCUGGA
rnacentral:rRNA from 1 species